rnacentral:lncRNA from 1 species
UAUAUACAGCUAUAAAUGCACAUGUUGCACGAGAUCUAUGUUAACAAAUUUAACAAUUGAUUUAAGUCCAAUAUUUAAAAGUUAAAUAAUUCAAUUAUUUCAUGGACAAUCAGACCUGUGAGAGCAUUAAUGAUGAGCUUCCUGACUUCAGCUCUCGACCAAACGUUUUGUUAUGAUGCUCAGAGCGUACAACGGUACAUUGCAUCAUUUAUAUAUUUCAAAAAUUUUGCGGUAUAAAUGUGACCGUACUAGCUGAAGCUUCACUAAUUGAAGCUUCUUGCCACUACAUCAUUUGAAAUCAAUAACAAACUUAGGGAAAUGAUUUGUUUAAUCUUUAAAUUUUAAAUUAACUGUUGGUUUAAUUUUU